UUUUAAUUGAAUCUACAAUGAAUGGUUGGACAAAAGGAAUACUGUCUUUGUUUUAAAAAUUUAACCUUAACUUUUAAGUGAAAAGGCUUACAUAAUCUAAAAAGACGAUAAGACCCUAUAAAACUUUAUAUUAAAAUUAAUUUAUAUAUUGAAGUUAAAAAAUAAAAAUUUAAAUUAAUUGUUAUAUUAUGUUGGGGAGACAAAAAUAUAAAGUUACAUAACUAUUAUAAAGUAAAACAUAAGAUAAAUGAUUAUUAUAAAUUGAUCCUUUUUAAAGAUUAAAAGAUUAAGUUACUUUAGGGAUAACAGCGUUAUUUUUUUUGAGAGUUCAUAUCGAAAAAAGAGAUUGCGACCUCGAUGUUGAAUUAAUAUAUCUAUAUGGCGUAGAAGUUAUAUUAGAGGGUCUG
rnacentral:rRNA from 1 species